AGAUUAAGUUAUUAAGGGCGCACGGUGGAUGCCUUGGCACUAGAAGCCGAUGAAGGACGUUACUAACGACGAUAUGCUUUGGGUAGCUGUAAGUAAGCGUUGAUCCAGAGAUUUCCGAAUGGGGGAACCCAGCAUGAGUUAUGUCAUGUUAUCGACAUGUGAAUUCAUAGCAUGUCAGAAGGCAGACCCGGAGAACUGAAACAUCUUAGUACCCGGAGGAAGAGAAAGAAAAAUCGAUUCCCUGAGUAGCGGCGAGCGAAACGGGAAGAGCCCAAACCAACAAGCUUGCUUGUUGGGGUUGUAGGACACUCUAUACGGAGUUACAAAAGAACAUGUUAGACGAAUCAUCUGGAAAGAUGAAUCAAAGAAGGUAAUAAUCCUGUAGUCGAAAACAUAUUCUCUCUUGAGUGGAUCCUGAGUACGACGGAGCACGUGAAAUUCCGUCGGAAUCUGGGAGGACCAUCUCCUAAGGCUAAAUACUCUCUAGUGACCGAUAGUGAACCAGUACCGUGAGGGAAAGGUGAAAAGUACCCCGGAAGGGGAGUGAAAGAGAACUUGAAACCGUGUGCUUACAAGUAGUCAGAGCCCGUUAAUGGGUGAUGGCGUGCCUUUUGUAGAAUGAACCGGCGAGUUACGAUCUGAUGCAAGGUUAAGCAGCAAAUGUGGAGCCGCAGCGAAAGCGAGUCUGAAUAGGGCGUUGAGUAUUUGGUCGUAGACCCGAAACCAGGUGAUCUACCCUUGGUCAGGUUGAAGUUCAGGUAACACUGAAUGGAGGACCGAACCGACUUACGUUGAAAAGUGAGCGGAUGAACUGAGGGUAGCGGAGAAAUUCCAAUCGAACUUGGAGAUAGCUGGUUCUCUCCGAAAUAGCUUUAGGGCUAGCCUCAAGUGAUGAUUAUUGGAGGUAGAGCACUGUUUGGACGAGGGGCCCCUCUCGGGUUACCGAAUUCAGACAAACUCCGAAUGCCAAUUAAUUUAACUUGGGAGUCAGAACAUGGGUGAUAAGGUCCGUGUUCGAAAGGGAAACAGCCCAGACCACCAGCUAAGGUCCCAAAAUAUAUGUUAAGUGGAAAAGGAUGUGGCGUUGCCCAGACAACUAGGAUGUUGGCUUAGAAGCAGCCAUCAUUUAAAGAGUGCGUAAUAGCUCACUAGUCGAGUGACACUGCGCCGAAAAUGUACCGGGGCUAAACAUAUUACCGAAGCUGUGGAUUGUCCUUUGGACAAUGGUAGGAGAGCGUUCUAAGGGCGUCGAAGCAUGAUCGCAAGGACAUGUGGAGCGCUUAGAAGUGAGAAUGCCGGUGUGAGUAGCGAAAGACGGGUGAGAAUCCCGUCCACCGAUUGACUAAGGUUUCCAGAGGAAGGCUCGUCCGCUCUGGGUUAGUCGGGUCCUAAGCUGAGGCCGACAGGCGUAGGCGAUGGAUAACAGGUUGAUAUUCCUGUACCACCUAGUAUCGUUUUAAUCGAUGGGGGGACGCAGUAGGAUAGGCGAAGCGUGCUGUUGGAGUGCACGUCCAAGCAGUAAGGCUGAGUGUUAGGCAAAUCCGGCACUCAUAAGGCUGAGCUGUGAUGGGGAGAGGAAAUUGUUUCCUCGAGUCGUUGAUUUCACACUGCCGAGAAAAGCCUCUAGAUAGAUAACAGGUGCCCGUACCGCAAACCGACACAGGUAGUCAAGAUGAGAAUUCUAAGGUGAGCGAGCGAACUCUCGUUAAGGAACUCGGCAAAAUGACCCCGUAACUUCGGGAGAAGGGGUGCUCUUUAGGGUUCACGCCCAGAAGAGCCGCAGUGAAUAGGCCCAAGCGACUGUUUAUCAAAAACACAGGUCUCUGCUAAACCGUAAGGUGAUGUAUAGGGGCUGACGCCUGCCCGGUGCUGGAAGGUUAAGAGGAGUGGUUAGCUUCUGCGAAGCUACGAAUCGAAGCCCCAGUAAACGGCGGCCGUAACUAUAACGGUCCUAAGGUAGCGAAAUUCCUUGUCGGGUAAGUUCCGACCCGCACGAAAGGCGUAACGAUUUGGGCACUGUCUCAACGAGAGACUCGGUGAAAUCAUAGUACCUGUGAAGAUGCAGGUUACCCGCGACAGGACGGAAAGACCCCGUGGAGCUUUACUGUAGCCUGAUAUUGAAAUUCGGCACAGCUUGUACAGGAUAGGUAGGAGCCUUUGAAACGUGAGCGCUAGCUUACGUGGAGGCGUUGGUGGGAUACUACCCUAGCUGUGUUGGCUUUCUAACCCGCACCACUUAUCGUGGUGGGAGACAGUGUCAGGCGGGCAGUUUGACUGGGGCGGUCGCCUCCUAAAAGGUAACGGAGGCGCUCAAAGGUUCCCUCAGAAUGGUUGGAAAUCAUUCAUAGAGUGUAAAGGCAUAAGGGAGCUUGACUGCGAGACCUACAAGUCGAGCAGGGUCGAAAGACGGACUUAGUGAUCCGGUGGUUCCGCAUGGAAGGGCCAUCGCUCAACGGAUAAAAGCUACCCCGGGGAUAACAGGCUUAUCUCCCCCAAGAGUUCACAUCGACGGGGAGGUUUGGCACCUCGAUGUCGGCUCAUCGCAUCCUGGGGCUGUAGUCGGUCCCAAGGGUUGGGCUGUUCGCCCAUUAAAGCGGUACGCGAGCUGGGUUCAGAACGUCGUGAGACAGUUCGGUCCCUAUCCGUCGUGGGCGUAGGAAAUUUGAGAGGAGCUGUCCUUAGUACGAGAGGACCGGGAUGGACAUACCUCUGGUGUACCAGUUGUCGUGCCAACGGCAUAGCUGGGUAGCUAUGUAUGGACGGGAUAAGUGCUGAAAGCAUCUAAGCAUGAAGCCCCCCUCAAGAUGAGAUUUCCCAACUUCGGUUAUAAGAUCCCUCGAAGAUGACGAGGUUAAUAGGUUCGAGGUGGAAGCGUGGUGACACGUGGAGCUGACGAAUACUAAUCGAUCGAAGACUUAAUCAAUUUUUUAAA
rnacentral:rRNA from 3 species